GUUGGGGGUGGUACAGAGCAGGAGAGUAAUAGAAGAGUUAUUUUGAUAGAGGGGGCCAUUAUGGGGUUAGGGAGAAACCUGGUGCCAGCAAAACUCCCAGGAAUCCACAAGGAUGAUCCCAGCUGAGACUCUUAGCAACAGUGGAGAGGGAGCCUGAACUGGCCUUCUCCUGUAAUUAGAUUGGUGACUACCCUAAUUGUCAUCAUAGAGCCGUCAUCUAGUAACUGAUGGAAGCAGAUGCAGAGAUCUACAGCCAAGCACUGGGCCGAGCUCCGAGAGUCCAGUUGAAGAGAGGGAGCCAUCAGCUGCCGAUAUCUCCUCAGGGUAGAGGUCUGCCUCAGGAGCCCCUCCUCCACCUGUGAGCUCGUGUGUGCAUCAGCUAUAUCGUGUUUAAAAGAGAGCAUUGCACAGCACCCCUCCCCAUCCUCCAGCUCUUACACUCUUUCUGUCCCCUCUUCUAAGAUGGUCCCUGAGUGCCAGGGAUGAAGUGGGGCAUUGAUGUGUUUCAUUCAGGAUUGAGCACUCAGUGGUCACUUAUUCUCAGAACUUUGGCCAUGUAGGAGUUUGCUUUAACUGCUGUCGAUGGCAAAAAGAAGUUCCUCUAACCAGAUUGAGAGCGGCACUAAUACAUUGGUGAAAACAUACCUGUCUACUUACUUAAGUUAUUUUUUUUAAAGACUUUUAUUUUUAUACAUGCGUUUAUCUGCAUAAGUGUAUGCCAUAUAUGUGUGGGUGCCUGUGGAGGCCAGAGGAGGGAGCUGAAGUUAUAGGUGUUUGUGACCUGAUCAAUGUGGAUACUGGAAAGACACCCUCUUCUGACCUCUGCAAGCACCAGGUACAUAAAAUAAUUUGUAGCUGGAGCUUUCCUGGUCCUGCCUGGCCCAUGGUCAGGACAAAUCUCUCUCACCUGCUGGUCCCGCAGCUGCUUAGACCCAACCGAGUAAACACACAGAGACUUAUAUUACUUAUAAACUGUAUGGCUGCAGCAGGCUUCUUGUUAUCUAGUUCUUAUGUCUUAAAUUAACCCAUUUCUAUUAAUCUAUAAGUUGCCACAUAGCUCAUGGCUUACCAGUAUCUUAACAUCUUCUCAUGGGGGAGGCUGGCAGCGUCUCCCCGCCUCAGCCUUCCAUUUCCCAGAAUUCUCCUCUCUCCUUGUCCCGCCUAUACUUCCUGCCUGGCUGUUGGCCAAUCAGUGUUUAUUUAUCAAUCAAUCAUCCACAGCACUUCCCCUUUUUCUUUUUUUCAAAAAGGAAGGUUUUAACUUUUACAUAGUAAAAUUACAUAUAACAAAACAAUUACCAGGCAAGAAUUAGUUACAAUGUAGAUGUAACAGUCUUAUUAAAUAAGAAACACAGAGCCAAAUUCAGAGUUAAAAGUCCAAGAGGUCAGAGCAGUAGCUAAGAGCUGAUACUAAAAAACCUUUCUUACCCUUGGCUGCCUCUGUUGUCCUUCCCCUCAGAAAGAGACCUACUUCCUGUGUAUCUGUCUUUUUAUUGAUUUUCUGUUCUGCCUCCUCAUUGGUUGUAAACCCAACCACAUGACCUCCUCGUCACUCACUGCCUGUCUAUACAGACCUCCAGGUCUUCUAUGGUUGGUAUUGAGAUUAAAGGCGUGUGUCUCUAUGCUGGCUGUAUCCUUGAACACACAGAGAUCUGCCUGUCAUGUGAUCGGGAUUAAAGGUGUGUGCCACCACUGCCCGGCUUCUGCUAUGGCUUGCCAUUAGCUCUGACCCCCAGGCAACUUUAUUUAUUAACAUACAAAUAAAAUCACAUUUCAGUACAAAUAAAAUAUCACCAUAAUAAUUUAUUUUUUUUAAAAAAAAGAAAAAAAAAAGAGGUGGACAAUGUUCCUGAGCAUAGCACCCAAGGUUGUCCUCAGGCCUUCACACAUAUGUGCAUUCACACCUUCACACGCAUGUGUUGCCUGCAUGUAUAUCUGUGUAGUCCUUGCAGUCUGGUGCCCACGGAGGUCAGACUACUGAAGGUGUUGGAUUCCCUAGAACUGUAAUUACAGACAGCUGUGGUCACUGUAUGGGUGCUGAGAAUCAGACCCAAAUCCCCUGGCUGAGCAGUCAGUGCCUUUAACUAGUGAGCUUCUCUCCAGCCCCCAGAGUUUGCUCUUUAAUUGUUUACUAGUAUGCAUUAGUUGUACAUAUCAAGCGACUUCAAUUUCCACACAUGCAAACACCAUGUCCUGGUCAAGCCCAGUUUUUUUUUUUUUCCUACCCAUCCCUGAGAGUAAGUUUCUGUGCUGUUCAUAGACUCGAUUUCAGCUAUAGACAGACCCAAAUUUAUCCCUGUAUUUUUGGUUCAUGUAUAGCGAUAAAUUCUUACGGGGCUUCAGGUAGGCUGUUAGUCCCCUACAAGCAAAAGUUAAUACAGCAUGCUGCCCACAUAAACAUUAAUGCGAAGACGUCUGAUCAGAAGUUGCAGUAUUCUCCUUGGAAUUUUUUCAAGUCUCUGAGUGCAUGAAAUCCUUGCAGAAAGUCUAUGUUCCUCCUCUGCACGAAGUGAAAUCAAGGCUGGGCCCUAAAGAAAGAGAGUUAUGGUUCAGUGAGACUUUAGAAGGGGCAUCCUGGGUUGGUUCUGCUUCAUUUCUGACGAUUUUAUCAUCCGAAUGUCUCAGAACAUUUCAGGCUGCUACAAGAAAAUACUGCAAACUGUGUGGCUUGUGAAUAUCACUAUGUCCCACAGUUCUGGAAGCUACAUAAAUUAUAGCCCCAGUAGAUUUGAUGUCUGGUAACCCUGCGUUCUGCUUCCUGGAAGGUGCUUUCAAGUUUGUCCUCCAGUGGUGGAAGUGGAAGGAGCAGAGCUGUUGUUUGAGGAUUCAGCAGGGCUCCGAACUCAUGAUCUAAUCGUUUCCCAAAGGCCUUGGCAACUAAUGCACACUGGUGGGUAGGUUCACCAUAGGAAUGGGUUGGGAGGGAUAGCAGUUUUGGACCCUGAGAAGGAUAGAAAACAUCCAUUCAAAUGCUCAUUAGUUAAACAUUUAUUGGGUUUAAGGGCUAAGUAUAAGGCUUCAUGAGAGAGAAGGUUGGGCUUCAAGAUAAAACUAAUAGGGUUCUUUUCUGUCUAGAGGAUAGGGGUCCAUUCAGGUGCCCCCUUUAUCACUGGCAAAGUGAUGAAAUCCAGCUGAGCUACUGAAGCACAUUUCUUUGAGCACUAUUACUUGAUGAUUCAAACCGUUUUCAAAAUGGGUAACACCCCAGAGGGUUGUCUGGUUCUGUUUUUUCCUAGAAAUCCAAACUUAGGGAUUUUCUUAAAGACUUGCCAUUCUCUUCACUCCUGUGGCGACUGUACCACCAAUGCUGUGAUGGAUGAUGGUCCUGGACCAAGGAAGAUCGUGGGCAGAACCUCCAGGUAUACACAGCUGGUCCAAUUGAGACCAGAGGACCUCGCGUGGUAAUGAGUGCUCUGGGUGCCCACCCAGGCGUGGGGAGAGGUGAAAGGGCACAGAACAGCGGCCCGUGUGUGUUUUCCUUCCUCAACAGCUCAUCUUCAAUGACUUGAGUGGAUUUGGAGUUACCUGGGAGACACACCUGGGGGUGGGCCCAUGAGAACAUUUUCAGAGAGGCUUAACUGGAGGGAGGAUGGAGCCUGAAUGUGUGCUGCACACCUUUGUAGGCUGGGGUCUACGAGGAGAAAGCAAACGGAGCAUCAGCAUUCCUCUCUCGCUGUUUCCUGACUACAGAGACAGAGUGGCCAGCUGCCAAACGCUCCUGUGGCCAUGCUUUCCCUCCAGGAUGGACAGAAUCCCCUCAUCCUAUGAGCCCACACACUCUUCCUUCAAGCUGAUUUUUGUCAGGAAUGCGACAUGAUGAUGAAGUGUCCAAUCUCUCCCCUUUACUCUCCCCCUCUCUGACUUCCUCUCUAGCCUCUGUCUUUCCUCUUCCUCUCCCCCCUUCCUCCUCUCCCCAUUUCUUUCUUCUCUCUCCCCCUUUCCUCUCCUGCUUCCUCCCUCUCUCCUGUCUUCCAUGUCCCAGCAGUUGAAAGAGAACACAGCUCUGUGUGGACUUCCAAAGGAACUGGGUCCAGCUGCCUGGCAGAAGGUGGCUUCCGAGCAAUGGCCCCUGAGCUUGUGAAAUAGAGCCUCUCAGAGGGCUCCAGGCUGCUCUACCCAGUAGCUGUUUCCCUGACUUCUCCGUUCCAGAGAGGAAAUCUCAGGCAUGUUUCUCUUCUGCUCAGGACCGGGGAUUAUGGAUCUUAAACUCUCUCCUCCAAGCCAUGUUCAAGUUUUUGACUUAAAAGGGAAAUGUUUCAUUUUCGGCCAAAUGUAUCCCCCUCCUUCCCCCUUGCUGGAAGGAGAACAAAGCAAUUCAAAUCAGAAAACACAGGGAACUCCCCGCACACUGUCCACAGGGACCAGGCUCCCAACCAGAUCCCACGGCAUUUGAUUGAAGUACCACUGAACCCCUCUGCGUUUGUUCAAAUGUCAUUUAAAUAGAAAUGUUUCAAAUCUCUGCCAAGGAACUGCCCAGGGGGUGACAUGGGACGGAGUCGGCCCUCUCUGCUCUGCAGGCGGCUGUAGGCCCAGACUGCAGGGCGGGACCCAGGCCAGGUGGACUCAAGGGGUUCACAGGGAAAACAAGUGGUGGGAAAAGAGAGGAGAGAAGAAAGGGGGUGAAGGAAAGGAGGCAGAGGAGAAGAACCCUGGGCAAUUUUUACCCUGAAGAUGGCUGCUACAAAUGAGGUUAAUGAGAUGCUUGCAUUCUGGCUCUCUCUCUCUCUCUCUCUCUCUCUCUCUCUCUCUCUCUCUCUCUCUCUCUGUCUCUGUCUUUUCAUACCACCCCCAACCCUUUUCCUUUCUUUCUUAAAAACAUACAACAUACAGACAUGCAAAGCCAGGUUUGGUGACCAAACUCAUUAAGGUUCAUUCAAAUCAUAAGCCAUUCAAGGCUGAUGCACCUGCUCAGCUAUUUUAUUUUUAUUAUUGUUGUUACCAGCUGCCUUGCCAGGGCUUUACCAGGGAAGAUGUACAGGAUUUGGUUUGCAACUGGGGCUGAAGGUACGGGUAUUGGUUUUCUGAUCUCACAUGAUCACGGUGGCUAUGGGGUCUGGGAUCUGAGACAUUGCUGGUAUUCAUCCCUGGGAAUCAUCAGCCAGCCCUGGUGGUGUGUACCCUCCAGAUGUCCAACAGGAAAGUGUCAGGUAACUCACCCAUUGCUCCCUAAGUUGCAAUCACCGGUCAUUUUCUUGUUUUGUAGUUCUGAUUGAAAGUUUGUGGUAAAGGGCUGGGUAAGCGGCUCAGUGGUUAAAGUGCUUAUUGGAAAAGAUUAGGACAGGAGUUCAGAUCCCCAGAACUCACAUAAUGCCAAGUGGGCAUGGUGCCCUACCUAUAAUCCCAACACUCAGGAGUUGGAGAUGGGGAUCCCCAGAACAAAUGGGCUAGCCAGACUAGCUGUAUUAGUGAGCUCCAGCUUCAACUGAAAGACCUUGCCUCAAAGAAUGAAGUGGGGAGCGGUCUAGGAAAAAACCCAUUAUCAACCUCUGGCCUCUACACACAUAUUCUCAUGUACACACACACACACACACACACACACACACACACACACACACACACACCACACACACACGAGCUUCCACAUAGGCAAACAUGUCUACACACAUACUACUUAAACAUGAGAAAAAAUAGAAAUAAUAAUAAAAGUAUUUUUUAAACUUGAUGGUAAAAUAAUUGCUACUAACACUAUUGCUAAAGUAGAUAUUUUGAAGGAGUAAUAGUUCUGGCUUUCUACAUGAUCACAAUUUGAAAGAGGCUGGAGUUAUGAUGGUUAGUUUUGAUGGUCAGCUUAACUGUCUAGAAUCACCUGGAAAGAAAUUCUCAAUGGAGGAUUAUAUAGAUCAUUUUGGCCUGUCGACAUGUCUUUGGGGGGAUUAUCUUGAUUAUAUUUAUUGGGAUGGGAAGAUCCACCCACUGUGGGUAGCACAUUCCCUAGGCAAGUAUCCUGAGCUGUAUGAAAAUGGAGAAAGCCAGGUGAGUACAAGUAAACAUGCCUGACUUCAUUGCACUCUGCUACUGACUGUGGAUGUCAUGUGACUAGCCCCUUCAAGUUCCUGUUGCCUGGCCUUCCUGCAAUGAUGGACUGUAACCUGGGGUUGUUAGCCAAAUAAACCUUACCUCCUUUAA